UAUUGCGCAAUGGGCGAAAGCCUGACGCAGCGACGCCGCGUGAGGGAUGAAGGUUUUCGGAUCGUAAACCUCUGUCAGAAGGGAAGAAAGUGCGUGGUGCUAAUCAGCCGCGUAUUGACGGUACCUUCAAAGGCAGCACCGGCAAACUCCGUGCCAGCAGCAGCGGUAAUACGGAGGGUGCGUGCGUUAAUCGGAAUUACUGGGCGUAAAGCGCACGUAGGCUGUUGUGUAAGUCAGGGGUGAAAUCCCACGGCUCAACCGUGGAACUGCCCGUGAUACUGCAAGACUGGAAUCCGGGAGAGGGUGGCGGAAUUCCAGGUGUAGGAGUGAAAUCCGUAGAUAUCUGGAGUAACAUCAGUGGCGAAGGCGGCCACCUGGACCGGUAUUGACGCUGAGGUGCGAAAGCGUGGGGAGCAAACAGG
rnacentral:rRNA from 1 species